AAACUUGCUGGGGAGGUGGUGAUGUUGGGGAUGAGAGGGAAACCAGAGCAUGACAGCUUUGUAAAGCAUGGCUCAGGCAUCUGAUCUUUGGUCCAGGGGAGUGAGUUGAUGACAGGCGCAUUUCAGAAUGAUUCAUCAGAUGCGGAGAGCCAGAUGGACCGGAGAGGCAGAGGCAAGCUGGGAAGACCAGGGAAGGAAGAGCCCCAGGGAUCAUUUUAGGACCUGCAGGAAGACUCCACAGGGCUGAGCAGGAAUCCUGAGUGACGCCUGCCCCCCAUCAACCCUCCUCUACCGAAGAACCCCAUCAAGGUGGCUGGUUUCACCACUCCAUUCUUUCCUCUUCCCAAGGACCCCAAUUCCUGGCCCUUCUACCCUUAAACUCUUUCCUGGCUCUUCUGCACCUCAUCCAGUCUGGGGAUCCUGCCUCCUGCAUGCCACCCGAAGAUGUGGUUAGAGGUGCUGGGCAUGUCGUCAGCUACUCCUAAACAGCCUCCCUAAAUAGAAAGCGCAUUUCCUCCACAGACUGCAUCAUCCAUUUCCCAGGGACAGCCACCCUCCUAAAGACUGAGGCUGGGGGUCAUCCGUUCUCCAGCCCCUCACAUCUGGACCCCCUCCCGGUUCAUCCUACCACUGUGUCUCACUUCCGCAUACCCACCUGGCCUGCUCCCCUAUUGUUUCCAUUGUGCCCCCCCCACCAGGUCUGGCCACCCCCACACAUAGCUGGCUCAUACCCCUCACAUCUGCCCUCACCCACUCACAUCUGGCAGCUGCACCCCUUAAACGAUUCAUCACAUCACUGCCCUCCUUACUACAACCUUGCUCAGCUCACACUCAGAAUCUUAAAUUCUUCUUAGUCCAAAACACAGAACGCAGCUGGACUCUGCUCCCAGAAUGGACUGACUUCAGCUUCAGGGAUGACACAGAGACUCUGGGACACUUCUUAGGAAGGACACAAGGGAGGAUUUUCAGAGGCUUUGGAGUAAAGUGUGGGUUUGCUUCUUAACUUUGCCCCCACUUGGGCUGUCUGCUUUAGAGUGGGGACAGCCAACUAGGCAUGGUGGCUCACACAUGCAAUCCCAGGACUUUGGAAGGUCAAAGCAGAAGGAUCACUUGAGCCCAGAAGUUUGAGACCAGCCUGGGCCACAUAGUGAGACCCCAUCUCUACUGAAAAUAAAAAUUUUUUAAAUUA